rnacentral:lncRNA from 1 species
CACAAACAAGCAAAUUACAUUAAGAGACUAAGAAGAACACAAAGCUCAUUACAAAAGAGUCUUGCACCUAACAUAAACAGUGCUACACUACACCAACAUUGAUCUCACUACAUCAAGAGCUUAAGGUAACUUCAUUGAACCUUUGUUCAUAUAUAUCACCCAGAACCAAUAGCUUAUAGCUAUAACCACAACAUAACUACACACUACAACAAAAAAGAGCACAUUCUGCCAUGUUCUUCUCCAUUUAUUCUGCAUUCCUGUCAUCUUCUCAACCUCUUCUUGCAACACUUUCAAUUUCAUACCUAGGCAAUCAUCAUCUUGUUUGAAAUCUUCAGGCUUGUCAACUUCUUCAGUAACAUCAACCAAUUCAAAUGCAAUGGCUAAUGUUUGAGAGGAUUCUACUAUAUUCUCAAGCUCACCCAAUUUCUAUAUUAGUUUAAGAAUCACAAAUUUCGACCUCGAAUCAAUAUUUUCUUUAUCCUUCCAACAC